rnacentral:rRNA from 2 species
GAAUUUGGCAAUGGGCGAAAGCCUGAUCCAGCCAUACCGCGAUGCAGGAAGAAGGCCCUCGGGUUGUAAACUGCUUUUGUACGGAACGAAAAGGUCCUGGCUAAUAUCUGGGGCUGAUGACGGUACCGUAAGAAUAAGCACCGGCUAACUACGUGCCAGCAGCCGCGGUAAUACGUAGGGUGCAAGCGUUAAUCGGAAUUACUGGGCGUAAAGCGUGCGCAGGCGGCUGUGUAAGACAGGUGUGAAAUCCCCGAGCUCAACUUGGGAAUUGCACUUGUGACUGCAUAGCUAGAGUACGGCAGAGGGGGAUGGAAUUCCGCGUGUAGCAGUGAAAUGCGUAGAUAUGCGGAGGAACACCGAUGGCGAAGGCAGUCCCCUGGGCCUGUACUGACGCUCAUGCACGAAAGCGUGGGGAGCAAACAGGAUUAGAUACCCUGGUAGUCCACGCCCUAAACGAUGUCAACUGGUUGUUGGGUCUUCACUGACUCAGUAACGAAGCUAACGCGUGAAGUUGACCGCCUGGGGAGUACGGCCGCAAGGUUGAAACUCAAGGGAAUUGACGGA